UUAAUAUCACAAUGGAAAUGAACAGUGUAUAUCUCGUGGUUUAUUCUGACUGAUCAAUUUGGGCGGCCAUCCACCUUAGAGACGUGUGUCUUCCAGCUUAUCAACACCUCUUUGAAAGUCUCGACCUAGACUUAAAGAGAGAGAAAGGGAAGGAGAGGGGCGGUGACCGGAGUGUCACCACCACUCUAACCAAGGUUUCUAGGGCUUGAGUUCGAUUUGAUUCGUGAUUCAAGGUUUCUAGGACCUCACUUUCUGAUUCAAGGUAAGUACUGAUUAUAUAGGUGACCAGAGUGUCACCACCACUCUCCACCACUCUAAUCAAGGUUUCUAGGGGCUUCAGUUCGGUUUGAUUCGUGAUGCAAGGUUUCUAGGACUUCAAUUUCUGAUUCAAGGUUCUAUUACCCAUUGUUGAUGGGUCAGAGUAGAUGGAAGUUGUCAUGAUAAUUGUUGUUCUUUGACGUGCAAAUGCCGAAGUGUCACCACUGGUGGAUUCAGGUCGUCUUGGCGGCGGCGAUUUUCAACGUAAAACCCUAGCCGAUGUUUUAGGCGAUGGCGGUCGGGGUUCAUGAGAGGUUUCAGUCUUUCACCUACCUGACGAUGAUGAUGGCUUGCUACCUGGUAUGGCAACUCCGGUUGCAACCGUAGCGCCACUGAGCGGGUUCAACGAUGAUGAUGAUCUUUUCGGAUCCGAGUCGAUUUGUGUUGCUAAUUUCGUUUUUUUUUUGUUUGCUUUAUGAGAUUGAUUAUACGAUUGUGUUUGUGGUGUUGGUCAUGUUGUUUCUCGCUGUUGUUUCGGCCGUGAUAUUUGUGGUUGUGCUGUUGAUAGUAAUAAUGAAAAGACAAACUUUUUUAUCUUCAUGGUUAAAAGUACACACUGUAUGUUUGUCGAUUGAUUUCGGGAUUUGAAGCGUUAUCCGGCGAUAAUGGUGGCUUGCUACUUGGCGUGGCAACUAUGUUUGCAGCUGUAGCGGCAUUGAGCCAUCUUUUGUUGGUACCAGCGAUGAUGAAGUGUUAUUCUGAGCCUUUUAUGCUAAAUCAAUUUGGUGGACCCACCAGAGACAUAAUGGUAAACUUUGGAACAUGAACAAUCACCAAACUAAUGUUAUUAAGGCGCUAGGGGGUGUUGAAGGAAUUUUGGAGCAUACACUAUUCAAGAGAACAUAUUUCCCACAUGGGAGGGUCUUUUUGUGAGAAAGCUUUAGGCUUUGUUGAUUUACAGGUCUUAUGAAUAAUGGGUGCUGAUGAAUAUGGUUUCGAUUCAAUUGUUGUGAUUGUUAUAGGAUGUUUUAUAGCUCGUAUCUGCAACACAAAAGAUUGUCUAGCUGGUGUCGUGAGUCAGGUAAGUGCUACGAAAAUGGGUGGGUCAGUUGGGUUGGUGAUGGGUCAGAAUGGGUAUCUUUAGUAUAGAUCUACUAGGCAUUUCCAUCAACUGUAGUAACAUGUUUGAUUCAUUUAGUAUGUGAAUAAAUUGUUAGUAUAUAUUGACAUGGAUAUAUACACUUGGACCGAGAGUAAUCCAUAACUGAUAGCAAACCCCCAUAUAAUGAAGUUGCAUUCUUUUGAUACAAAGGUAACAUCAAUUUGGACUUUGAACAUACACUAAACCAAUAAAAUAUAAGGAAAUACCAGUAAAAAGGUUUUAAUAAGUGAUGCAUAAAAAGGGAGGUGAUUUGUAACCUGGUCCUAUUUGUCAUUUAGGGUCAAUUUGAUGAACACGCAUUAGGAGACCAUGUAGUACUAGCAAAAAAAUGUUCAUUAAAUAUUUAGUUGCUUCGUCUUGAUUCAUGAAGUUGCUGAAACUUUUGAUGAGUGGUUUUAGAUUUCUGGUGGCUUCCACGUGUGAUAGAAAGAGAGUCUGGGAGACAUAAUCAUAAUGGAGUGGUGGCUGACCACUGCCACCUUUGGCGGCACCACCCGAUUCCGGCACGUCAACGACCCCAACUAACGGUACAAUGGCUGAGCGUUUGAGAGAGAGAGGUUGUGUAGACGAUGGCCUUGACGCCGGUUAGCAUUCCCGACCAAAUCAGACCAGAUUCCGUGUUCCGGUGAAGGUACGACUACGGUUCUAGGGAGCAGUGCUGGCAAGGAGAAUUAGUUGAUGAUCGGGUGAGCAGAUUAAAGCCUGUACGGGAGUUCUUCAAGUGAAUCAACAACUCUCCAGGCCGACUCUACAUAUAUGGUUACUGAAGAAGUGAAGAUAGAUCCAAACUUCCAGUUGCAUCCUUUAAAGACAUGAUUACAGCAGUUUGCAAAUCAAGUUUAAACUUAUAAUAUGCAACACUAUUAGAGGUGGUUUGCUACACUAUACAACGUACAUGUUGUGGCAUCAAUAACACGAUUCGAUUAAGCGCGCCGCAACGUGGCGCUGCGUAAAAA